CCAGCCGCCCCCUUUUUUUCCAGACAAAGGGGUGUGAGCCCGCCUGGGGAUGAGGCCUGGUGUGGUGGCAACUGACCUUAGCUUCGCGGGCUGACAGCUCUGGCCCAGGGCGGUAUGUAAU
rnacentral:lncRNA from 1 species